ensembl:rRNA 5S_rRNA 5S ribosomal RNA
CAUGGCCACACCACCCUGAACACACGCGAUGUCAUCUGAUCUCGGAAGCUAAGCAGGGUCGAGCCUGGUUAGUACUUGGAUGGGAGAAUCUAGAAGUCUGGAAGAAUUCAUUU